rnacentral:misc_RNA from 1 species
UCUCCGUAGGUGAACCUGCGGAGGGAUCAUUACAGAGUUCAUGCCCUAACGGGUAGAUCUCCCUCCCUAUGUUAUCAUCCCUUUGUUGCUUUGGCGGGCCGUCAGCCCUCCGCUUUGCUCCCGGCUCUUGCUGGUAAGCGCCCGCCAGAGUAUCCCAAACCCUGAAUCUCUGUAACGUCUGAUUACUAGCUAAUAGUUAAAACUUUCAACAACGGAUCUCUUGGUUCUG